GAUGAACGCUGGCGGCGUGCCUAAUACAUGCAAGUCGAGCGAACAGAUGAGGAGCUUGCUCCUCUGACGUUAGCGGCGGACGGGUGAGUAACACGUGGAUAACCUACCUAUAAGACUGGGAUAACUUCGGGAAACCGGAGCUAAUACCGGAUAAUAUAUUGAACCGCAUGGUUCAAUAGUGAAAGACGGUUUUGCUGUCACAUAUAGAUGGAUCCGCGCCGCAUUAGCUAGUUGGUAAGGUAACGGCUUACCAAGGCAACGAUGCGUAGCCGACCUGAGAGGGUGAUCGGCCACACUGGAACUGAGACACGGUCCAGACUCCUACGGGAGGCAGCAGUAGGGAAUCUUCCGCAAAGGGCGAAAGCCUGACGGAGCAACGCCGCGUGAGUGAUGAAGGUCUUCGGAUCGUAAAACUCUGUUAUUAGGGAAGAACAAAUGUGUAAGUAACUAUGCACGUCUUGACGGUACCUAAUCAGAAAGCCACGGCUAACUACGUG
rnacentral:rRNA from 1 species